AGCGAACGCUGGCGGCAGGCUUAACACAUGCAAGUCGAACGCCAUCUUCGGAUGGAGUGGCAGACGGGUGAGUAAUGCGUAGGAAGCUACCCGAUAGAGGGGGAUACCAGUUGGAAACGACUGUUAAUACCGCAUAAUGUCUACGGACCAAAGUGUGGGACCUUCGGGCCACAUGCUAUCGGAUGCGCCUACGUGGGAUUAGCUAGUUGGUGGGGUAAUGGCUCACCAAGGCGACGAUCCCUAGCUGGUUUGAGAGGAUGAUCAGCCACACUGGAACUGAGACACGGUCCAGACUCCUACGGGAGGCAGCAGUGGGGAAUAUUGGACAAUGGGCGCAAGCCUGAUCCAGCCAUGCCGCGUGUGUGAAGAAGGCCUCGGUGUAAGCACUUCUAGCGAGGAGGAAGGGUAGGUGGUGUUAAGUAGUACGACAGUCAUCUUGACGUUAC
rnacentral:rRNA from 1 species